AUGAGUAUCAUGUGCUGGAAUUGCCGUGGGGCGGGAAACCCUGCGACAAUUCAUGAGCUUCGUGUUUUGACAAAGCGUUUUGCCCCCACCAUCCUUUUUAUUCUUGAAACUCAGGUGGAGAGACAAAGGGUGGAGUUUUUAUUAAAUUCUUUAGGUUAUAAUAAAAGUUUUGCUGUUAGUAGUUCUGGUAGAAGUGGUGGCUUGUGUGUUUUU
rnacentral:rRNA from 1 species